CCUACGGGAGGCAGCAGUGGGGAAUUUUGGACAAUGGGGGAAACCCUGAUCCAGCCAUCCCGCGUGUGCGAUGAAGGCCUUCGGGUUGUAAAGCACUUUUGGCAGGAAAGAAACGUCGCGGGUUAAUACCCCGCGAAACUGACGGUACCUGCAGAAUAAGCAC
rnacentral:rRNA from 1 species